AGUGAACGCUGGCGGUAGGCCUAACGCAUGCCAGUCGAACGGCAGCACAGUAAGAGCUUGCUCUUACGGGUGGCGAGUGGCGGACGGGUGAGGAAUACAUCGGAAUCUACUUUUUCGUGGGGGAUAACGUAGGGAAACUUACGCUAAUACCGCACACGACCUACGGGUGAAAGCAGGGGAUCUUCGGACCUUGCGCGAUUGAAUGAGCCGAUGUCGGAUUAGCUAGUUGGCGGGGUAAAGGCCCACCAAGGCGACGAUCCGUAGCUGGUCUGAGAGGAUGAUCAGCCACACUGGAACUGAGACACGGUCCAGACUCCUACGGGAGGCAGCAGUGGGGAAUAUUGGACAAUGGGCGCAAGCCUGAUCCAGCCAUACCGCGUGGGUGAAGAAGGCCUUCGGGUUGUAAAGCCCUUUUGUUGGGAAAGAAAAGCAGCAGGUUAAUACCCCGCUGUUCUGACGGUACCCAAAGAAUAAGCACCGGCUAACUUCGUG
rnacentral:rRNA from 1 species